GACGAACGCUGGCGGCGUGCUUAACACAUGCAAGUCGAACGCUGAAGCUCAGCUUUUGUUGGGUGGAUGAGUGGCGAACGUGUGAGUAACACGUGAGUAACCUGCCCCCUUCUUUGGGAUAACGCCCGGAAACGUGUGCUAAUACUUGAUAUUCACUGGUCUUCGCAUGGGGGUUGGUGGAAAGGGUUUUUCUGGUGUUGGUUGGGCUCGCGGCCUAUCAGCUUGUUGGUGGGGUGAUUGCCUACCAAGGCUUUGACGGGUAGACGGCCUGAGAGGGUGAACGGUAAGAUAGGGACGGAGAUAAGGACCAGAGUACUAAGGGAGGGAGAAGUGGGGAAAAGAGGACAAUGGGCGAAAGAAUGAUGCAGCGAAGAAGCGUGAGGGAUGGAGGCCGUAGGGUUGUGAAACGCUUUAGCAAAUGGUAAAGAAGAAAAAAUGGUUGUGGUGAGGGUAGUGGGUAAAGAAGCGCCGGCUAACUACGUG
rnacentral:rRNA from 1 species